AGUGAACGCUGGCGGUAGGCCUAACACAUGCAAGUCGAACGGCAGCACAGUAAGAGCUUGCUCUUACGGGUGGCGAGUGGCGGACGGGUGAGGAAUACAUCGGAAUCUACUUUUUCGUGGGGGAUAACGUAGGGAAACUUACGCUAAUACCGCAUACGACCUACGGGUGAAAGCAGGGGAUCUUCGGACCUUGCGCGAUUGAAUGAGCCGAUGUCGGAUUAGCUAGUUGGCGGGGUAAAGGCCCACCAAGGCGACGAUCCGUAGCUGGUCUGAGAGGAUGGUCAGCCACACUGGAACUGAGACACGGUCAAGACUCCUACGGGAGGCAGCAGUGGGGAAUAUUGGACAAUGGGCGCAAGCCUGAUCCAGCCAUACCGCGUGGGUGAAGAAGGCCUUCGGGUUGUAAAGCCCUUUUGUUGGGAAAGAAAAGCAGCAGGUUAAUACCCCGCUGUUCUGACGGUACCCAAAGAAUAAGCACCGGCUAACUUCGUG
rnacentral:rRNA from 1 species